rfam:Homo sapiens chromosome 14, GRCh38 reference primary assembly.
CCAAGAUGUGGAGGCUGGGGUCAGCCCUUGGUGGAGGUUGC